rnacentral:misc_RNA from 1 species
GAAAAAGUCCUGUUGUUGGACCUAAGGAGAUUAUUGACAAGAAGAGAGUUCAAUGGAUGGAUAACAUAGGGAAAGAACUUGCUGAGAUCAAGGAGUUUGAAUCCAGUGAAACGGGAGAUACUGACACUGAAGAGGAGACAAGACAUUGUCUAUGCAUUAUUCUUUGAUGCUGCUUAACGCUGCUUCUUCCUGCAACUACUUCCAAGUGGCUGCAGUUUAAUCUAAUACAACAACAAUGAGGAAUUGACUUCAUGUGCAUGAGAACAUUGUUCAUGAUCGGAAAAGUACA